rnacentral:lncRNA from 1 species
AAUUAUUCAUGUGUAUUUCAUGAUGUUUUUUUUUUCUUAUUUUUUGUGGUCACUAUAGAGUUGCACUAAUUUUAAUAGGUUUACAAAUUAUUCAUGUGUAUUUCAUGACUUUUUUUUCUUAUUUUUUGAGGUCAUUAUAGAGUUGUACUAAUUUUAAUAAGUUUACAAAUUAUUCAUGUGUAUUUCAUGAUGUUUUUUUUUCUUAUUUUUUGAGGUCAUUAUAGAGUUGCACUAAGGGGCCGUUUGGUUAGAUGUAAUUAUAAAUGCAGUGUAGUUAGAGAUACAUGUACUUGAAAAUACAGCAGUUAAAACUACAUGAUCUUGUUUGGUUGGAUGUAGUAGAAAGCGCUGUAAGUAUAAAUAAUUUAUUUGGUUGCAUGCAGUUGAGAAAUAAUUUUUAAAAUUUUAUUAUUUUAUAUAUAUGAUGGUGAGAUUACCUCUAAUGUAAAAAAGAAAAAUAAUUUUUGUUUAAAAAUAUUGAGGAGGUAAGCAUACUUUUUAUUUAAAAUUACUCUCUCCAACCGCUGUAGUCGGAACUGCGAUCAAUUUGGGUGUAGUUUGAACUGCUGCAGUUAGACCUCCUCCUACAGUUCCUACUGCUGCAGUUGGAGUUAAAUAUAUCAAACCAAAUACGAAAUUUGCAUUUACAUGUAGUUACAAUUGCAGUGCAGUUGUUGUCACGCCCCGGAUGUCUAGUUCCCCGGGCACGCCGACAAAUCCGCCGUAUACAAAGAAAUUUUCUCUGAAUACGAAGCGACAGCUGUACCUGUAAAUCAAACGCUACUACGAACAGUAGUAGAGAGCUGCUAAAAAAAACAGAAGAUAAACAAACUGAGUUUCAUAUACAUAGUCCAAAUCCAAAAUACAGAGCUACUCGCACUGGCGAGUUAAGUCUACUAUGUACAGAAACUCGAAACAACAUCUACCUGCAGUAGGGGCACCUCUAGCUCAGCACGACGGGUAGGGCUCUAACUCGUGACGCCCUUGCCUCGAUCCUGAUCCGCGGAAGGCGCAGCAGCCGGAACCUGUGGCUCUGCAAAAUAGAGGUAACAACUGGGCGUGAGAACUACUGUAAAAACAAGUAGUCCUCAGUGGGUACCGCCCAAAACCACAUCGGUCCACCCACUAAGUCUAC